rnacentral:rRNA from 1 species
UACGUAGGGGGCGAGCGUUAUCCGGAUUCAUUGGGCGUAAAGCGCGCGCAGGCGGCGGCUAAGCGGGACCUCUAACCCCGGGGCUCAACCCCGGGCCGGGUCCCGGACUGGUCGAAUCGGGUGCGGUAGAGGUAAGCGGAAUUCCCGGUGUAGCGGCGGAAUGCGCAGAUAUCGGGAAGAACACCGAUGGCGAAGGCAGCUUACUGGGCCGUCACCGACGCUGAGGCGCGAAAGCUAGGGGAGCGAACAG